rnacentral:rRNA from 1 species
CCGCCCGUCACACCAUGGGAGUUGAUUGCACCAGAAGCAGGUAGCCUGACCGCAACGGAGGGCGCUUACCACGGUGUGGUCCAAUGACUGGGGUG